CAAUAGCGUAUAUUAAAGUUGUUGCGGUUAAAAAGCUCGUAGUUGGAUUUCUGCUGAGAACGACCGGUCCGCCCUUUGGGUGUGUAUCUGGCUCUUUCUUGGCAUCUUCUUGGUGAACGUUGCUGCACUUGACUGUGUGGAGCGCUACCCAGGACUUUUACUUUGAGGAAAUGAGAGUGUUCCAAGCAGGCAAUCGCCGUGAAUAUGAUAGCAUGGAAUAAUAGCACAGGACUCUUGGUUCAAUGCUGUUGGUUGAUUGAACUAGAGUAAUCAUAAUAAGGAUAGUUGGGGGUAUUCGUAUUUAACUGUCAGAGGUGAAAUUCUUGGAUUUUUUAAAGACGAACAAUUGCGAAGGCAUCUACCCAGGAUGUUUUUGUUGA
rnacentral:rRNA from 1 species